AUUGAACGCUGGCGGCAUGCCUUACACAUGCAAGUCGAACGGUAACAGGUCUUCGGAUGCUGACGAGUGGCGAACGGGUGAGUAAUACAUCGGAACGUGCCUAGUAGUGGGGGAUAACUACUCGAAGGAGUGGCUAAUACCGCAUGAGAUCUACGGAUGAAAGCAGGGGAUCGCAAGACCUUGUGCUACUAGAGCGGCCGAUGGCAGAUUAGGUAGUUGGUGGGAUAAAAGCUUACCAAGCCGACGAUCUGUAGUUGGUCUGAGAGGACGAUCAGCCACACUGGGACUGAGAAACGGACCAGACUCCUACGGGAGGCAGCAGUGGGGAAUUUUGGACAAUGGGCGCAAGCCUGAUUCAGCAAUGCCGCGUGCAGGAUGAAGGCCUUCGGGUUGUAAACUGCUUUUGUACGGAACGAAAAGCCCCGGGUUAAUACCCUGGGGUCAUGACGGUACCGUAAGAAUAAGCACCGGCUAACUACGUGCCAGCAGCAGCCGCCG
rnacentral:rRNA from 1 species